AUUUCUUGAUAAAUGGUAACCAAACACAGAUAGAGGACAAUAAAAAGGACCUCAAAGACUCCCCGAUAAGGCCAGACUCAGGUUGUGUGGUUCAGGUUACACCCCAUCAUCUCCAUCAACAACUCAAUUGAGCACACGAAGGAUACCAGAUUUUAAAACAAAGGUGAUGCCAUCCAAUGGACAGGUGUCAAAGCUCCACUCCACCUCGACGUCCCUAACAUUGGCAUUGUUUAUGAAGGUCACUCCCGGGCCCUCCUGUACACACCCUGUGAAGUCCCUCCCGAUGACCAGCCCCUCGCUCCCUGACAGAUCAAUGCCCAGUAGACUGGACUGGCAGCCUGUUUAAAAUAAUGAAACUGCUAUUGGGCUAGACCUCAGGAUAAUGGCAACCAUUCUCGUGAAACACCCAUCUAAAGGAGAACAAAAGGACAUGCUCUUCAACCCAUAGAACAAAGACGCACUGCUGAUCAAUAGUCAAACAAAGACUAACGAGCUGACACACCUGAGGAUUGCCGCAGAAGAUCUCGCCUGCUUCAGAUUUCAAGAAAGUGGACCAUAUACAGUUCAAUCUUCAAGUUGGAUGUGGAAACUUAAGUCUUUUGGAUCUUAAUUAAGAAGACCACAAAAAAACCAAGGUCCCAAGGCAAAGAAUAUAUCUUUACACAAUUAACAGAUUCCUUGCUGUGCAAUACAUUUAGGCUGCAUUAUAAAUUCAAAACCUUUCACUGUAAUACAAAUUGCUCUCAAAGGGAGAUAAAUAGCAUAUGAAAAACAACAGUCUAAAAGUCAAAUUUUCGGAUGCUGAAGGAUCGGAGGGGCAUUGUUUGAAAUCCAUGGCCAGUCUCAAUGCAAAAUAAUGAGCCGACUCUUAACAUUUUCUAGUUUUUAUUCACAUAUAUUCAAUACCUGUGCUCUCAUUCCACUAAUGAAAAAGUUUUAACUUUUAAAUAUCUUGAGGUACCAACCACCUCGGCCCCCCCCCCCCCCCCAUCUUCUGUUUAUGCAUGAGGUUGUGUUUGCAAUCAUGCGAUAAGUGAUAGCAAGAUUCCAUACAUUCAUUCAGAACUCUGUAUAAGGGAUCAAAACCAAGAAAAUUUGAGUUGUUUUACCCACUGCCAAAAAAUAAUAUUCAAGACUGACUUUAAUGAUUUCCUGGGCAAUCACUGGGAGUGCUUACUGGAAAACUUUCUAAUAAAAAUCAUAUUUUCUCCCGCUUAUACUGUUAUUUGAAAAUUACCGUAAUAAGCCAUUUUAAUAUGAUUUCAUUUUUUGCAGUGUAAGCACUAAUUAUUUAUUACGUAAAUUAGAUACACUACUGAUACACAAAACUACUGAGCAACAAGAGCACAUUGUACAGUACACGUACAUUAGAAAUGGUUUUUUGAAAACGUAUCUUUUGAGGUUACCAACACACUGAAUGCAAAAUUUCUUGAAAUAAAUUAUUGUAAUUCAUAAGGUGUGGCAAUGAAAUAUACUUCAGAUUGCCACAAUGGUAUUACUAUCUAAGGGACCCAUCAAUUCUCACCCAUAAGCUUUAAAAGGGUAAACAGAUCCCUUUAAAUCAAUCAGAAUUCUCAAAUUCACAUACACUUAACACUGGAGCUGAAAGGGACAAAAUGUACAGUGAUCUGAUUAGCUGACUUGGAUUUAAAAAGUUAGAAAGAAUUGGACCAGAUUUAAUCAGGGUCAUGUAAGACAUAGUGAAAUAAGCAACAGUGCUGAUCAGGCAAACCUGAAAAUCCUCUUACACAAAGUUUCAAACCAACAGAAAAGAUUGCAGACCAUGUAAUAUUUGCAAACAAUAUAUUCUGAACAAGCAAUAUACAUCAUGCAAACAUAAUAUUGCAACUCAUAAAUAUCUUUAUAUCAAGUCAAAUAUAGAGUUACAUGGUACAGCUCAUACUGAAACUGUUGUAUACUUAUCAUAAUUAUCAAGAAUUUGAAAUCCCUUAUCAUUGUGACAAAAGGGCCUUUUUAUCAGUUAAUCAUUGUUAUUAUGAGAUAUGAGACCCCCGCUCAUAAGUAUAUCUAUAAAAAGCUGGACGAGGUUGCCAAGUUUGUGAUUAAUUGGGACUGUGAGUUUAGUACGAACACCAUCCAUUUCCUUUUGAAUAUAUCCAAAACUAAAUAGGCAAGCUUUAACACACAGGUGUCAUAAGCAAUUUUAUUUGAAUAUCUCCAUCCAUAUAGACUUUAUGGCUGAAAGUAAACGGGUCAUAGCCAGCACUGGAAUGUAAAAUUACAUUUAAAUUCUUUUUCAUUAAAAUGCCUCUUUCCCGGUUUGUUUACAGGUAAAUUUAUUUAGGUAUACUGUGUCUCAUUGUACAUUGUCUUCAAGUUUAUACAAGAAUCUUAAGUCAAUUGGUGGGCCAUUUUUACUAGUGUAAUUGCAAAACUAUUAUUAUUCUAAGAUUUGAACACAAUUACACAAUCUAUUAUAUCAGAUGCUUGAGAGCAGAUAUUGAUAUAAUGUAAUCAGCCAGCACUUAAAAAUAUAAAAUUUAUGAGGACAAAACUUUGGAAAACCUCAAUUACAUGUAUGGAUUUAUAUGCAGAUUUAUGAUUCUAGCAAUGUUAAUUGAAUCAUUAAUAAAACUUUGAACAAAUAGGGGAAAGUAAUUGAUAUAUGUGUAUUAAUUGAUGAUAAAACACACUGAUAGAUCUUUAUCACCAGUACUUGCGUACUAAAUGUUGUCAAUUGAUUCUUAUAUAUAUCACAAAAAUGUGUCUUUGUAUGAAACUUCAAUCAAUCAACAUACAUUUUAGUAUACAAGUUGUUAAGGUUUAGUGUCACGUACAUUUUUAUAAAAGAGGGAAAU